AUGUCACCAACCAGCUAAAAGUUCCAGCUUCACUACAUGAACACAGCUGAUGUCUGAGCCUAACAUUUUUCCCUUCAGUUAUCACGAAAAAGGGAGUCGUGAUAAGACUAGAAGGCUCGCCUUGUUACAAUUCUCCACGCUAGCAAUGGAUGCUUUCAUGGAAUAACAGAGCAUCCUGGCCAGCUUCUAUUCAUGAUAUCAG
rnacentral:misc_RNA from 1 species